GGAGAGAUGGCUGAGUGGACGAAAGCGGCGGAUUGCUAAUCCGUUGUACGAGUUAUUCGUACCG
rnacentral:tRNA from 1 species